GAUGAACGCUGGCGGCGUGCCUAAUACAUGCAAGUCGAGCGAACGGACGAGAAGCUUGCUUCUCUGAUGUUAGCGGCGGACGGGUGAGUAACACGUGGAUACCUACCUAUAAGACUGGGAGAACUUCGGGAAACCGGAGCUAAUCCCGGAUAAUAUUUUGAACCGCAUGGGUCAAAAGUGAAAGACGGUCUUGCAGUCACUUAUAGAUGGAUCCGCGCUGCAUUAGCUAGUUGGUAAGGUAACGGCUUACCAAGGCAACGAUGCAUAGCCGACCUGAGAGGGUGUUCGGCACCCCUGAACCUGAGCCACGGUCCGGCCUCCUACGGGAGGCAGCAGUAGGAAAUCUUCCGCAAUGGGCGAAAGCCUGACGGAGCAACGCCGCGUGAGUGAUGAAGGUCUUCGGUUCGUAAAACUCUGUUAUUAGGGAAGAACAUAUGUGUAUGUAACUGUGUACAUCUUGACGGUACCUAAUCAGAAAGCCCCGGCUAACUACGU
rnacentral:rRNA from 1 species